AGGCAGGGCCAAGAUCACCUGCUUCUUUCAGGGGAAGUGUGAUCUACUUAGUGAAGCACGCAUGUCAGGAUUCCAAAGAAUGUUCAUAGGUGAGGAUAUAAAGCCUCGAGUUACAGCAAUGACCAUGAGCAACGUUUGCUGACACGUGGAGGGCAGCAGAGCAGGAAGAGGACUAGAACAUGGUUUCUGAUGGUGUUGCUGAGCUGAACUUGACGACUCUAGGAACUCAUUAGGAGAAAGGUCCCCUGAAGAAGUAACAUUUAUUCUGUGACCUGACACACCUGGCCAGGAGAGUACCAGGUGAAGAAAGGUGAGGUGGCAAACUCUUCACAGAGGGGAAAUCAAAGAAGCAACUGCUGUAACUUAAGCGUAAAUCAUCACAGGAACAGAUUUACUUAUUGAAGACAGAGAGAGAACAGGGGGAGGGGCAGAAGGAGAGAGAGAGAGAGAAUCCCAAGCAUGCUGCCUGCUGAGACUGAAGAGCCCAAUUCGAGGCUACAUCUCAUGAUCCUGAGACCAUGACCUGAGAGGAAAUCAAGAAUCAUAGGUUUAACUGACUGAGCCACCAGGCACUCUAGCAGUGAUGUUUUCUUUACUAAAGAUUAUAAUCAAGGCAUAAAGCUGAGUUACAUGUAAAAACUUCAGUAUAAAUGGUAGUCAACUAAAACAUGGCUCAUUACUUAAAAUACACAAGUUACGUCACAUGAACAAAGUUUUUCAGAUGAACCAAAAAAAGAAAAAAAGAGUGUGGGUUAUUUUUUUUUAACACCUUUAGUAUUUGAAAAAAAUAUUUUCCAUUCUUUUCUCUGGAAAGAAAGUCAGGAAUAUGCUAUUAAGGUUCUUAAAAGUACUGUCAGUGAAUUUGUUACUUAUCAAUAAAAGGCAAAAGAUAUGAUUCUUGGACAACUGUCUGAAAGACAAUUAAAAAGUGUACUGAAAUUCAGAGAUAGGCGAGUUUACUAAUCUUAGCCAUUACUUAAUAAUACAACAUAGGAGAAACCAAUAAUGGAACGUACCUGGUGAACCUGAAUUUCCACUUUAAGAGCCUCCUGUAGAGUCUGCAACUCCAUCCUCCACCUUCUCCACUUUCUGUCUGCUAAUUCUACAGUUUCUUCAGCCUCCGUUUAAAAUAACAAACUCCUCUUCUCACUGCAGCUGUGGAGAUCAUAAAAU